rnacentral:misc_RNA from 1 species
GAUGAAGAACGUAGCGAAAUGCGAUAAGUAAUGUGAAUUGCAGAAUUCAGUGAAUCAUCGAAUCUUUGAACGCACAUUGCGCCCGCCAGUAUUCUGGCGGGCAUGCCUGUUCGAGCGUCAUUACAACCCUCAGGCCCCCGGGCCUGGCGUUGGGGAUCGGCGGAGCCCCCCGUGGGCACACGCCGUCCCCCAAAUGCAGUGGCGGUCCCGCCGCAGCUUCCAUCGCGUAGUAGCUAACACCUCGCGACUGGAGAGCGGCGCGGCCACGCCGUAAAACACCCAACACUUCUGAAGUUGACCUCGAAUCAGGUAGGAAUACCCGCUGAACUUAAGCAUAUCAAUAAGCGGAGGA